CCUACGGGUGGCAGCAGUGAGGAAUAUUGGUCAAUGGACGAGAGUCUGAACCAGCCAAGUAGCGUGAAGGAUGACUGCCCUAUGGGUUGUAAACUUCUUUUAUAUGGGAAUAAAAUGUUCCACGUGUGGGAUUUUGUAUGUACCAUAUGAAUAAGGAUCGGCUAACUCCGUGCCAGCAGCCGCGGUAAUACGGAGGAUCCGAGCGUUAUCCGGAUUUAUUGGGUUUAAAGGGAGCGUAUGUGGAUUGUUAAGUCAGUUGUGAAAGUUUGCGGCUCAACCGUAAAAUUGCAGUUGAAACUGGCAGUCUUGAGUACAGUAGAGGUGGGCGGAAUUCGUGGUGUAGCGGUGAAAUGCUUAGAUAUCACGAAGAACUCCGAUUGCGAAGGCAGUUCACUGGACUGCAACUGACACUGAGGCUCGAAAGUGUGGGUAUCAAACAGGAUUAGAUACCCGAGUAGUC
rnacentral:rRNA from 1 species